ensembl:antisense Gm15122 predicted gene 15122
ACUUUAGGGAGAAGCCAAGGUGGCACCCCUGCCCUUCAGACACCCUUGGUGACUUACGACUACACUUAACGCCUUAUGACUUACAGUACAACAGACACAUCUGGAAGACGCCCUGUGCCCCCCCACCUCCACUGCAAGUAGCAGCAGGAGGCCAAGAGCCCUGGGGAGACAGCCGAGGGGGGCACCGAGGGGUACCCUGCUUACAGAUAAGGCAGUCUCCUUGCACCCAAAGAGCCCAGCCACCUCCCGCCCCCUGCAUACCUGAGAAACACGCUGGCUUUGACUCAAUUAUUUAAAAUGUCUAGUGGAAGAUAAAGACUUACCUUCCCCAGGCUAAUGCUAAUGCUUAAAGAAUCUCAGUUAACUCAAAGGCAUGUCAGAGGGAAUGGAUGUAAGAGCCUUACGAUACAGCUAACAAAAAAGUCAACAAACAUGCAAUAAAAUGGACAUUGGGAUCAGUAA